rnacentral:rRNA from 1 species
CCUACGGGUGGCAGCAGUAGGGAAUAUUGCUCAAUGGGGGAAACCCUGAAGCAGCAACGCCGCGUGGAGGAUGACGGUUUUCGGAUUGUAAACUCCUUUUGUUAGAGAAGAUAAUGACGGUAUCUAACGAAUAAGCACCGGCUAAACCCGUGCCAGCAGCCGCGGUAAUACGGAGGGUGCAAGCGUUACUCGGAAUCACUGGGCGUAAAGGGCGCGUAAGCGGGAUAGGAAGUCAGAUGGUAAAUACUAUGGCUUAACCAUAGAACUGCAUUUGAAACUGUUAUUCUAGAGUAUGGGAGAGGUAGGUGGAAUGCUUGGUGUAGCGGUAAAAUCCGUAGAGAUCAAGAGGAAUACUCAUUGCGAAGGCGACCUGCUAGAACAUAACUGACGCUGAUGCGCGAAAGCGUGGGGAGCAAACAGGAUUAGAUACCCGUGUAGUC